CAGAGCUCUGUGGAGUUGCGAGUUAUAGAUAUAUAGAUAUAUAGAUGUGCAGAGAAAUCGUGCACCAUCGCUCAAAGGUCUUGGGAAAAUUCUUAUUAUAGUAAUUGAAAAUUGGAAAAGAUUAAAAUACAUUAUGAAUAAUAAUGGCUCGAAGAAAUAAUAUUUACGCGAUAAAGAAAUUAUGCGUUACUAAUAUAUUAACGAUUUUAUCAGCGAUUUGAAAUUCGUAAUCUACGUCAAAUGACGCAAAAUUUUAUUAAAAGAAGUAGAUGUCCUAACAUCUUUGAGCGAAGUUCUUUGAGAUAGAUAAAGACAGGAUUUUCUAUAAGCGUUAGACGCGAAAUUUUUUAGUUAAUUCGCGAAAGCUGGAAUUUCGUAAUUUUCAUUCUCUUGUUGUCUUUGUUCUUCCUCGUUCAAUUUCGAACGAUUAGUGAUUGUUACAAUGCAGACCAAUUAUUAAACUACAUUAAAAAAUUAUCUGUAAUUAUAGAACGAAAUUUAAUGGACAAGUAAAGCAAUUAUUUCCUUGUAAAGGAAGAUAGAAACUGAUCUAAAGAAGCUGACGUACCUGACCUACAAGAACCUGACGCAGGUGCGUGCAUAGAGAAUGUAGCGGCGACAAUUAGUGACUCUUUGCGCUUUAUUUUACGACCUCAUUGCAUUGUUUCCAUUUACAAUUCUCUCCUUUAUCCUAACAGGUACACGAGUGUUUGAAAAUUACUACUAAGAAAACAGAAACCCGUUUCUUCGUCUCUACUGUAUUCAGCAACGAUAUGUUAAAGUUUGCAAUCAGGUAGCGAUCACACAAUGGCCCUUCGUAAUCUAACGCUCGUUAAAAAUCCCGUCUUAAGAACACUACGGUUAACGCAUUCGAUAAAGAAGAGGAUUACUCACUGUUCUUUGCGAAUGUUUCGAGGGCAAUCGUUCGGAUCUUCGCCGGGAAACGUUCGAGGAUGAGUCUGUAUGC